GAGGUCGCCCCUAGUACGAGAGGACCGGGGUGAGGGAACCUCUAGUGUGUCAGUUGUCGUAUCAACGGCAUCGCUGAGUAGCUACGUUCCUAAGUGAUAAACGCUGAAAGCAUAUAAGCGUGAAGCACGUCUCAAGAUGAGUGAUCUCUUAAGAGCCCUCGAAGAUGACGAGGUUGAUAGGAAGCCGGUGGAAGUGUAGUAAUACAUUAAGCCAAGCUUUACUAAUAGCUCGUGAAGAGCAGUUUU
rnacentral:rRNA from 1 species